rnacentral:lncRNA from 1 species
GGCCCGAGGAUCACGAACCUUACUGGAAAACAGCAGGACUGUUGUCAGCAAGAAUUACAAGUUCAACCAAGUACAUAGUUAUGCAAGCAACCUGAAAGACCAGAGAAGUACAUUCUGCACAUUAUCUUAAAUCACAUAGUUCAAAGGUAGCAUUUAUGCACAGAUGCCUGUUAAUUUAGGAAAGAAAAGGCCUCACUGGGCUCCCUAGUUCUAUCUCAAGCCUGGGGCAGAGAAAAGUAGAAUGGAAGAAAUUACUUCAGUUUAUGCAUUGAGAAACCAGAAUUCUGAAGCGAAAAAUUAGAAGAGAAAGGAAAAAAAGCAGAAGUAAGAGAGUCUCCAUACUGAACAAAGAAAAAAAUAAGCUGAACCCACAUGUCAGAGGGUUGAAACUUUCAAGUUCAUUUCUUUUCUGAAGACUAAGCUGCCCUCUGCUGACAAAGUUUUGCUGUCGCCCAGGAUGGAGUACCAUGGCACUAUCUCGGCUCACCGCAACCUUCGCCUCCCGGGUUCAAGCAAUUCUCCUGCCUCAGCCUCCAGAGUAGCUGGAAUUACAGGUCUGCACCUAGCUAAAAUUUUUUGUAUAUUUAGUAGAGAUGGGGUUUCAUCAUGUUGGCCAGACUGGUCUUGAACUCCCAACCUCAGGUAAUCCGCCCGCCUCGGCCUCCCAAAGUGCUAGGAUUAUAGGCGUGAGCCACGAGUUUUUCUUCUGCAUCAUUUAUUACACAUAUUAGUGCUGAAUAUAUAUAUAUAAAUAUAUAUGAAUAUAUAUAAUAUAAAAAAAUAUAUAUAUAUAUAUAUAUUUUUUUUUUCCUUUCUCUUUCUAGAUGGAGUUUCGCUCUUUUUGCCCAAGCUGGAGUGCAAUGGCGCAAUCUCACCUCACUGCAACCUCCGCCUCCCGAGUUCAAGUGAUUCUUCUCCUGCUUCAGCCUACCGAGUAGCUGGGAUUACAGGCAUGUGCCACCACGCCUGGCUAUCUUGUAUUUUUAGUAGAGACGGGGUUUCUCCAUGUUGGUCAGGCUGGUCUCGAACUCCCAACCUCAGGUAAUCUGCCUGCCUCUGCCUCCCAAAGUGCUGAGAUUACAGGCGUGAGCCACAGCAUCCAGCCAAAUAUAUUUUUGAAGUCUUUUCUUUAGAAUUACAACCAAAGCAAUUGCUCUAGUGUAAUUUUUUCCCUCCUUUGAAAACUUUAUUUGUGGGGAGGGGGAAACAAACAAC